UGUGGGUUCUCCUAUGAGUUGCUGUCUGAGCUGUUGGUUCUCCUGGAGAAGCUUUGGUCUUCAUAUCGAGCAUGGUUUCCUGGCUCUGGAGGGGAAGACAUGUGCUGCUUGGUCUCCAGGAUAAACUCCUCAUGCUCCUUCCUGUGCACGUACUCCGACUGUUGUGGAGGAGCUCAGGGCCUCCGUGUCACUGAGGACAGCUGUGGUGCAUUUCAGGACAGCCCUGCUCUUUGUUGAACUCCACCAAUAUUGGAGAUGCUAAAGUAAGAAAAAAGUAUUUCCUGUCUGGAAGAAACAGCUCAAGCAUGAACUGUGAACAUGAAUGAAGACUUUAAGGGCAGUAAUAUAUAAAAGAAACACAUAGAAAAAAUGAUGAUGUAACAUAGUUUUACUCAUAUUACCCCCACCCCCAAAAGUACCAUGAGAAGACUGAAGGAUCAGUACCUGUGGGGAUCCAGGUGAAAAACAGCACCACAAGAAGAUCCUGAAACCAGCUGUCAUGGUUUAUGUCUAUGGCCCCCAGGCCUCAUGAGUUUGCAUUGUUUCUGAUAAUUCAUUGUAUAGUGCUUGGAUUGAUAGUGUCAGUGCUCCACCCACAUAGGGAUGGAGCCAGGAUGUGAUGUAAUGGCAGGAAGAAGGUAUAUCUUGCUCUUUUCUGGCUCCUGCUUGCUGUUGGUGGCCAUCAUGAACUGUGGCCCAGCCAUGCCUGUCUGCCUUGGAGCCAACUGAGUGUGGACUGAAACCUCCAAAAACUGUAAGAAAUAAACCUUUCCUUUCCCAA